rnacentral:rRNA from 1 species
AUUGAACGCUGGCGGCAUGCUUUACACAUGCAAGUCGAACGGUAACAGGCCGCAAGGUGCUGACGAGUGGCGAACGGGUGAGUAAUGCACCGGAACGUGCCCAGUCGUGGGGGAUAACGCAGCGAAAGCUGUGCUAAUACCGCAUACGAUCUAUGGAUGAAAGCGGGGGACCGUAAGGCCUCGCGCGCUUGGAGCGGCCGAUGUCAGAUUAGCUAGUUGGUGGGGUAAAGGCCCACCAAGGCGACGAUCUGUAGCUGGUCUGAGAGGACGACCAGCCACACUGGGACUGAGACACGGCCCAGACUCCUACGGGAGGCAGCAGUGGGGAAUUUUGGACAAUGGGCGCAAGCCUGAUCCAGCAAUGCCGCGUGCAGGAAGAAGGCCUUCGGGUUGUAAACUGCUUUUGUACGGAACGAAACGGUCUGGGUUAAUACCCUGGGCUAAUGACGGUACCGUAAGAAUAAGCACCGGCUAACUACGUGCCAGCCGCCGCCGUAAAAC